rnacentral:rRNA from 1 species
CUUGACUGUAUCCUGGAAUUGGGUUCGGGCUUUAUUUGCGCAGUAUAGGUGGAAGGCGUUGAGAUUACUCUUGCGGGAUUAGUGGAGCCAUCAGUGAGAUACCACUCCUAUAAUGUUAGAUUUCUAACUUUGGAUCAUAAUCUGGUCAAAGAACAGUUUCAGGCGGGCAGUUUGACUGGGGCGGUCGCCUCCCAAAUGGUAACGGAGGCGUACAAAGGUUUCCUCUGAACGGGUAGAAAUCGUAUCUAGAGUGUAAAGGCAUAAGGAAGCUUGACUGUGAGACCUACAAGUCGAGCAGGGACGAAAGUCGGUCUUAGUGAUCUGACGGUGCUGAGUGGAAAGGCCGUCACUCAACGGAUAAAAGUUA